rnacentral:rRNA from 1 species
UAGCGCCGUGGAACCACCUGAUCCCAUGCCGAACUCAGAAGUGAAACGCGGUAGCGCCGAUGGUAGUGUGGCAUUCGCCAUGCGAGAGUAGGACACUGUCAGGC